UUCUUCUUUAAUAGGCUUUGCAGUCCUAUAUAUGAAGGCACAAAAUCCAGAAGGCGGUCCACAGCACAUUUCUUUGUUGCUGGAUGUUAAAGAUUUUGCAACUGAUAGGAGAGGUUACAAUGCCCUCCCAGUAAAGUAAGCGAACUGAGUCAUGCACCUAAGAAUUGGGUGGGACAUCACACUGCCACCUAGACCGUGUCCCUGCUUCGAUGCAGGCAUCGUUGUACAGCUGGCAUAAGGUAGCCAUGACAGCUGAGGCUUGAGAACAAAAGUGACUGGUCCACGUAAUACAAUCUGCAAUCGUGGGCAGAACGCCAGGGUGUCAGCUCCUGAUGUACCUGUCAUUCUCUGUCCACCGUGGGCUGUCACCACGGAGGUGGCCACAAGUGAAGAGGAAGUGAAAUGGACAACUGGUUUCUCACGUCAGAUCUCCCGGGAAAGAAAAACCGUAUUUGGUUUCUUCGUGCACAGACAUGUCGACGAUGAUCCUCACACAGAAAAUUUUUGUUUUAUUCUCCAUUUUGAAAUAAUAGCCUAAUGAGGUACUCAGUCACCUGCACUCUGUAACAGCAACAAAUUUGAAGAGGUUUACUUUAAGAAGAGAAGCAUUUUAAGAGAUCACUUACAUUUUCUUACAGAUUUCUUAAGCAUAUUGGGUCUUCUCAAGCACCAUGCCUCAUUCUAGAAUGUCAGGAAAUACAAAGACGAAUUCCCAAAGGAAUGAGCCUUGAGCCAUUCUGACCCUAGCAGCAUAUUGUAGCAUUCUACCUUAUAAGUCUCACCACAGGUGAAAUCCCUCUUAGCAGCUGGCUUAUGAAAUAAUGUGAAGGGAGGCCUUAAUGAGCAGAAAGCACCCUCAGCUGGAGAUAAAUAUAUGCAAAUGAGAUGCACAAACAAAGGAGCCUGGACAGAGAAAUAUCUGCAAUUCCAGCAAAAUGCUGCCUGCAGCUCGAAGAUGAACAGCUUUGAUAAAAUGUGAGAAACAAUCCUCAUAUGUGCUGAUGACUCAAGCACACGAAUCGGCAACAAGCAAGUAGGAUAAAAAAUAGUUAAAAUGAAUCAACAUUUAUCUGGAAGAUACAGUCCUGACCCUAAAAAAAAAGAAAAAAAAAAAAGAGUCAUUUAUCUUCUGUGUCCUGUGAUGUUUUGAAGAUUCUGGCAAAUAUGGCAGUUAAACAAACUUCUCUCACAAUCUAAAUACUGUCUGUUCAAGAGAGGCUUCCAAUGUUUAUAGCUCAUAAGUAAA